UGAGGUUCAGGACACAGGGCU
rnacentral:piRNA from 1 species